rnacentral:tRNA from 2 species
GGAAGACCCACCCGAGGGCUGGCGACGGGCGCUGUCUUGAAAACAGUUGGGGCCGAGAGGCCUGUGUCGGUUCGAUCCCGACGUCUUCCGC